rnacentral:rRNA from 1 species
AAUGAACGCUGGCGGCGUGGAUUAGGCAUGCAAGUCGAACGCGUGUAGCAAUACAUGAGUGGCGACCUGGUUAGUACAAGUUGGGUAACCUGCCCGAAAGUGGGGAACAACCUCUCGAAAGAGGGGCUAAUACCGCAUGUGGUCCGGGGGACUUCGGUUCCUUUGACUAAAGCAGCAAUGCGCUUUCGGAUGGGCCCGACUCCCAUUAGUUAGUUGGUGAGGUAACGGCUCACCAAGACGGCGAUGGGUAGCUGGUCUGAGAGGAUGGCCAGCAACACGAGGACUGAGAUACGGCCUCGACUCCUACGGGGGGCAGCAGUCUAGAGGCUUCGGCAAUGGGGGAAACCCUGACCGAGCGACGCCGCGUGCAGGAUGAAGGUCUUCGGAUUGUAAACUGCUUUCGGCUGGAAGGAACGAUAGGGCGCGAGCUCUAUCUUGACCGACCGGCGGAAGAAG